rnacentral:rRNA from 1 species
GAAUGCUGACAUAAGUAACGAUAAAGCGGGUGAAAAGCCCGCUCGCCGGAAGACCAAGGGUUCCUGUCCAACGUUAAUCGGGGCAGGGUGAGUCGACCCCUAAGGCGAGGCCGAAAGGCGUAGUCGAUGGGAAACGGGUUAAUAUUCCCGUACUUGGUGUUACUGCGAAGGGGGGACGGAGAAGGCUAUGUUGGCCGGGCGACGGUUGUCCCGGUUUAAGCGUGUAGGUGUGUGUUCCAGGUAAAUCCGGUUCACUUUAACACUGAGGCGUGACGACGAGGCACUACGGUGCUGAAGCAACAAAUGCCCUGCUUCCAGGAAAAGCCUCUAAGCAUCAGGUAACAUCAAAUCGUACCCCAAACCGACACAGGUGGUCAGGUAGAGAAUACCAAGGCGCUUGAGAGAACUCGGGUGAAGGAACUAGGCAAAAUGGUGCCGUAACUUCGGGAGAAGGCACGCUGACACGUAGGUGAAGUGAUUUACUCAUGGAGCUGAAGUCAGUCGAAGAUACCAGCUGGCUGCAACUGUUUAUUAAAAACACAGCACUGUGCAAACACGAAAGUGGACGUAUACGGUGUGACGCCUGCCCGGUGCCGGAAGGUUAAUUGAUGGGGUCAGCGCAAGCGAAGCUCCUGAUCGAAGCCCCGGUAAACGGCGGCCGUAACUAUAACGGUCCUAAGGUAGCGAAAUUCCUUGUCGGGUAAGUUCCGACCUGCACGAAUGGCGUAAUGAUGGCCAGGCUGUCUCCACCCGAGACUCAGUGAAAUUGAACUCGCUGUGAAGAUGCAGUGUACCCGCGGCAAGACGGAAAGACCCCGUGAACCUUUACUAUAGCUUGACACUGAACAUUGAGCCUUGAUGUGUAGGAUAGGUGGGAGGCUUUGAAGCGUGGACGCCAGUCUGCGUGGAGCCGACCUUGAAAUACCACCCUUUAAUGUUUGAUGUUCUAACGUGGACCCGUAAUCCGGGUUGCGGACAGUGUCUG